GUCCACGCCGUAAACGAUGAGUGCUAAGUGUUAGAGGGUUUCCGCCCUUUAGUGCUGCAGCAAACGCAUUAAGCACUCCGCCUGGGGAGUACGGCCGCAAGGCUGAAACUCAAAGGAAUUGACGGGGCCGGCACAAGCGGUGGAGCAUGUGGUUUAAUUUCGAAGCAACGCGAAGAACCUUACCAGGUCUUGACAUCCUUAUGACUUCCCUAGAGAUAGGGCGUUUCCCUUCGGGGACGAUAAGUGACAGGUGGUGCAUGGUUGUCGU
rnacentral:rRNA from 1 species